AUGUUGAAGCAAGGACGUGGUGGGUCCUCCAGGGUGAAAUUCCAGAUUUCCCUGGGUCUUCUGGUAGGAGCCAUGAUCAACUGUGCUGACAACGCAGGAGCCAAAAAUCUGUAUAUCAUCUCUGUGAAGGGGAUCAAGGGACGACUGAACAGACUUCCCACUGUUGGUGUGGGUGACAUGGUGAUGGCCACAGUUAAGAAAGGCAAACCAGAGAUCAGAAAAAAGGUAUAUCCGGCAGUGGUAAUUUGACAACGAAAGUCAUACCAGAGAAAAGAUGGUGUGUUUCUCUACUUUGAAGAUAAUGCAGGGGUCACAGUAAAUAAUAAAGGCGAGAUGAAAGGUUCUGCCAUUACAGGACCUGUUGCAAAGGAGUGUGCAGACUUGUGGCCCAGGAUUGCGUCCAAUGCUGGCAGCAUUGCAUGGUUCUCCAGUAUAUUUUUAAAAAACAUUACAAAGUAUUUUCUUGCAAAAGAAAAAGAAAGCAAGCAUGACAUGAGCAGAGACCUUAAAUGUAUUUGCACAGUUUGGAUUAAGUCUUAUGCUCACAGAUACACCAUAAAGAGAGAAUGUCUCAGAUAG